UGAAAAUUUUAUUUUAAAGACAACAAUUCUCAAAUUCUGAAGAAGUAUGCAGACGAAAGUCCUGACGAAGGAUUGAUAUCAAAGGAGACUGACUGAACUUCCAGUAGUGAUUCUGUUUACUUGGCUGUCUACUCGAAUGAAAAGAUAAACAUCAUUUGAAAUCUGAGAGCUACUUUUAGGAAAAAAGAAACUAAGCAUGUCAUGCGGCUACAAGAUUCACUCUGAAUAAUAAAUAAAAGACAAAAUGACGUCACUUAAAGAUAUUUGAGGUUACAGUUACGAAGACACUGCCGAAGAAUUCGAAUUUGGGUUUGAAGAAACGUGCUGUGAAUCAUUGAACGGUUGUGAAUGUAUUCAAUCGAUAAUGUGACUGCUGAAUGCUAUAUCGAUAGCCUGAUUUAAGAAUGAAAAAAGAAAGAUUAUUUAGCACUUUAGAAAAUAGAUAUUUAUGAAGAAUUUGUUUUAUUUUAAAAUUUGAC